GGGGAUGUGGAUCAAGCGGUAGCGUGCUCGCUUGGCAUGCGUGCGGCCCGGGUUCGAUCCUCAGCACCACAUACAAACAAAGAUGUUGUGUCCGCCGAAAACUAAAAAACAAAUAUUAAAAAAUUCUCUCUCUCUCUCUCUUCUCUCUCCUCUCUCCCUCUCUCUCUCUCUCUCCUCUCUCUCUCUCUCUCUCUCUCUUAAAAAAAAAAACAUUUAUGUUCUCAAUAAAUGGCAUCUAUUGAACCAAUGGAAUUCCAUCUUUAAGGAUGGAAUAGUGGACUAUACAUGUGAAAAUUCAGUGCACAUAACUGAUGAAAUAAUUUUCGCUACAGCACAGAAACAAUUAACACAAGUCUACUAAGCUGAUUAUCCUGUUUUCCCACCUAUCCCUGCAACAACUAAUUAUAAUUUGCACUUGAGACCUGAUAAUAUGAGCUGUAUUCAUUAAUAUAGCUCCAGAAUAUUUUGUAUGUGUGUAAUCAUCUAUGUUAUUUGAAAACCCUAUUUUUUAGUGUCUACUUUUCAUAGCAAUAAAAGUGGACUGUUAACAAGUUUACUGGGUCCAGUCUCAAAGCCAACCUCUGAAGUGUUCAUUAUAGCUCAUCAAAGCAGAAUAAAAAGUAACUUACUGCACAGAGCAUUCAGAAGACAUCUGUUCAGUUAAUCUAGAUGAUCAGUUGUCCUCAUUAUACACUUAUGAACUGCACAUUUGACCUAUAACUUAUGCCCAAACUUUACCCUGUGAUUCGUGCCAAAUAAGGAUAUUUGGUUUGAAAACCAAAAAUAAAAGACUUCUACAGAUUAAAAGGAAAUAUGCAUAUUAAAAAUUUAUUUUAUUAACCAUGUAACUAAAUCUUAAGUAUUUUAAUUUUUUUUAAAGGUAGAAGCCACGUACAUUUUUCACACUGUUCAAAGACAUGCAGAGUAUUUGUCCCAAAAAGUAGGGCAGCUUGAGCCCUUUCCUUCACCUCUUCAAUGUGAGAAGUUCAGCAAUGGCUCCAGCAUGCUCCCAUCAUCCCUCUGCUGAGGAAGGUAGGAAAGCAGGAGUCGGUGAGGCUUUACUCAGACAUAAGUCACUUCAGG
rnacentral:lncRNA from 1 species